AUUGAACGCUGGCGGAAUGCUUUACACAUGCAAGUCGAACGGCAGCACGGACGUCGGUCUGGUGGCGAGUGGCGAACGGGUGAGUAACAUAUCGGAACGUAUCCAAUAAUGGGGGAUAACGAGUCGAAAGAUUCGCUAAAACCGCAUACGCCCUACGGGGGAAAGCUGGGGGCCUUCGGGCCUGGCGUUAAUGGAGCGGCCGAUAUCUGAUUAGCUAGUUGGUGAGGUAAAGGCUCACCAAGGCGACGAUCAGUAGCUGGUCUGAGAGGACGACCAGCCACACUGGAACUGAGACACGGUCCAGACUCCUACGGGAGGCAGCAGUGGGGAAUUUUGGACAAUGGGCGCAAGCCUGAUCCAGCCAUUCCGCGUGAGUGAAGAAGGCCUUCGGGUUGUAAAGCUCUUUCGCAAGGGAAGAAAACUUAGCCACUAACAUUGGUUGAGGUUGACGGUACCUUGAUAAGAAGCACCGGCUAACUACGUGCCAGCCGCCGCAGUAA
rnacentral:rRNA from 1 species